rnacentral:rRNA from 1 species
GGAAUUGACCGAAGGGCACACAAAGAGUGGAACCUGCGGCUUAAUUUGACUCAACACGGGAAAACUCACCAGGUCCGGAUACACGGAUGAAAGUCAAGCUGAAAGACUUUACUCAAUGAUGUAAGUGGUGGUGCAUGGUCGUUCGUGGUUCGUGGAUUGAUUUGUCUGGUUAAUUCCGAUAACGAGCGAGACCCUAUCGUUCCUAAUAGGGGGUGUUAGCCCGGCCGGUCGAAAGACCUGGCCAGCUUCCACUUAAGAAAUAAACUUCUUAGACGUAUCAGAGCCGAUAAGGUUCUUGAAAUGGGUUAAUAACAGGUCAGUCAUGCCCUUAGAUGUUCUGGGCCGCACGCGCGUUACAAUGGCACGUAAAGCGAGUGCUUCUAGUUAGGCUUUACCUGGGUCGAAGGGCUCUUGGUAAUCCAUAAAACCUGCCCUGACUGGGCUAGGUCAUUGCAACUAUCGAUCUUCAACGAGGAAUUUUUAGUAAUAGCCAGGUCAUUAACCUGCGCUGAAUGCGUCCCUGCCUUUUGUACACACCGCC